rnacentral:misc_RNA from 1 species
UCCGAGUUGACCCCGGCAGUCUUCGAUGAGUCCCCGCCAUAACGCGCUGGCAACAUCGAACGAGGGUUGCGCUCGUUGCGGGACUUAACCCAACAUCUCACGACACGAGCUGACGACAGCCAUGCACCACCUGUCACCGGCCCCGAAGGACCCCGCAUCUCUGCGAGAUUUCCGGCGAUGUCAAACCCAGGUAAGGUUCUUCGCGUCGCAUCGAAUUAAAGAACAUGCUCCGCUGCUUGUGCGGGCCCCCGUCAAUUCUUUUGAGUUUUAGCCUUGCGGCCGUACUCCCCAGGCGGGGUGCUUAAUGCGUUAGCUUCGGCACGGAACGGGUUGAAGACCGCCCCACACCUAGCACCCAACGUUUACGGCUGGGACUAC